UACUAUACAUGGGCAUUGUUUUGCGCUGGUGAGCCACGCCUGGACCUUCUCGCAGAGAAAAGAAACGCCUGGACUGAUAAUUCCAUUCUAUCCCUCACCAAUUCAGCCUUUAUUCCUCUUCAAGUCUUCAAUCUACAAGAUCUCCGAGGAAGGCGAGCGGUCGACCCACCACUUGGGCCUUUUCAUCUUCAAUCUGCGUGGUCACUAAAGAAUUGUCUCAUCUUCAAUCUGUGAGGGAGGAGAGCAGUUCACCGUCCCACCACUUCCGCUUUUUCCUCUAUGAUCGAUUGAUCGCGCUGUCUCUUCAUCUGCCCUUUGAGCUGCAAGGUCACAAAGGGAAGCCAGGGGAGAGUACGCCCAGUCGGCAGAUCACAGGGAACCCCAUUCCAAGUUGGUUUGAGUGGCGAGAAUCUACUGGGGCAGAACAUCAAAUCAAUUGUUUGCUGAAUCAAUAUUCAGAUUGGAAAUCAUUCAGUGCUUUUGCUGGUACUGUUUUUAAGUUCUCCUCUGAUGCGGCCAUGAAGCUCGAAGGUAACCGUCGCCGCCGGCCGGCCGGUAAUUUCUUUGCUGGUAGCAAUAAUUCCAUUGCACGAUGGUCAAACGCCCACCACUUGACUGCGGGGAAUGUUCAUACGCAAGCAAGACUAAACCUUUGCGCAGUUGCGGAGGACUGGGCUGGUUAGAUGUUAUGAUCAGUCAUUGCAUGACUAUUCUCCCACUUUUAUUUCAGAUUCCUCUCAGGGAAACCUUCAAUACUGUUUAAUUUGAUUUCAAGUCUUUUCUGCUCUUGCAUGUAUCGUAUAUUUUUCAAUUUGCAAAGCUGAAAUCUACAUCUUGCCACUCUC